GACAGAGGGUGCAAACGUUGUUCGGAAUUACUGGGCGUAAAGCGUGUGUAGGCGGACAGGUAAGUCGGGUGUGAAAGCCCUGGGCUCAACCCGGGAAGUGCACUCGAUACUGCUUGUCUUGAGUACCGGAGAGGUUGGUGGAAUUCUCGGUGUAGAGGUGAAAUUCGUAGAUAUCGAGAGGAACAUCGGUGGCGAAGGCGGCCAACUGGACGGAUACUGACGCUGAGACACGAAAGCGUGGGGAGCAAACAGG
rnacentral:rRNA from 1 species